UAUGGUGGACUGCCCCUUCUCAAACGUUCAAGAAGUUUUCACAGAGGAGAUGAUACAUGGCUAGCCACAGGAGGAUGAAUGCACUACAGGUGUUUCCAGGAGAAAGAAGAGCACAAAGAAUCGAAGGCAAAUGUCAACAUGGUGAUUAAAAGACAUCAGAGGCAAUGGGAAGAAAGUAAAACUACGACACGUGGAGAUGAUAUAGACAUUCUGACAAGAAGCAAAUACUGGCUGCAAAUAUAUACACAAGAAAUAGCCAGUGAGAGAGAACCUCACCCAUAAUAUAGCUCUUCCAUCCAGGAAGGAGAACGAUACAAAGCCGGUUGGGUAUGAAGAAUUUCAUAUUGCACUACAAGCUGAUGGGGAGAUCUUAAGGCAAAGUUGCUCAUCAGACAAGACUCCAUUCCUUCGGCUGAGCUUGAUCCCCUUCUGUUGGAGCUAGGACCAGGUCUCAAGGACUGUGGUUGUGCAAAAAGGAGAAUACUAAGAUGACAUUGCUGGACUGGGAAGAUAGUUCAGUCAGUAAGGUGUUCGCUGCACCAGCGUGCGUUUCUAUGCAGUCUGACCUCGAAGGCAAUCCACGGGGGAAGCUCUGAUUGACUCAGCGCUCAUGAAAUAAGAUGAUGAAAACCAACCUUCCUCCUUCUCUCCUGUCUCUGGGCGACCUUUCAUGGUGGAUGCUGGGAACGUAAAGUUAAGAAGAAAUCCAUGGAAAGCAAGACUCCUAAGUCUAGACAGCCACCAAGGCUCAAGGCGUCAGGCAGACACAGGAGCAAGAAUAGCAGCGGAGGCUAAGCUGUAUUUUCCCUUGUUUGGAAAGGGCAAGGAAGGCUUGGGAGUAUCUUUGGACAAAGAGAUCAGUUCUUUUCUUAUUUGAGAGAAGUA
rnacentral:lncRNA from 1 species